GGGCCUGUAGCUCAUUUGGCUAGAGCACAUCAUUAGCAAUGAUGAGGUAAGGGGUUCGAUCCCCCUCAGGUCCACCA
rnacentral:tRNA from 1 species